rnacentral:misc_RNA from 1 species
CGCAGCCGCGGUAAUUCCAGCUCCAAUAGCGUAUAUUAAAGUUGUUGCAGUUAAAAAGCUCGUAGUUGAAUUUCGGGGUUAGUAGGUUGGUCAUGCCUCUGGUAUGUACUGGUCUCACUGAUUCCUCCUUCCUGAUGAACCUUAAUGCCAUUAAUUUGGUGUUUUGGGGAAUUUGGACUGUUACUUUGAAAAAUUAGAGUGUUUAAAGCAAGCUAACGCUUGAAUACAUUAGCAUGGAAUAAUGAAAUAGGACGUUCGAUCCUAUUUUGUUGGUUUCUAGGAUUGACGUAAUGAUUAAUAGGGAUAGUUGGGGGCAUUAGUAUUCAAUUGUCAGAGGUGAAAUUCUUGGAUUUAUUGAAGACUAACUACUGCGAAAGCAUUUGCCAAGGAUGUUUUCAUUAAUCAAGAACGAAAGUUAGGGGAUCGAAGACGAUCAGAUACCGUCGUAGUCUUAACCAUAAACUAUGCCGACUAGGGAUCGGAUGAUGUUAAUUUUUUAAUGACUCAUUCGGCGCCUUAC